CUCUAGCACAAAAAAUGAAAACUAAAAACUAAAAUGAAAUGGUUAUCAAAUGGGCCCUAAGUAAACAUGUUUUCCAAAAUGUAUGGAUUUUCGGGGUGUGUGUAGGUUGUUCGGAUUUUAGUAUUGUGUUAAUUUAUUUUGAUUAAAUUAUGGUCAAGAUAUGUCCUGGAUCCUUUUUCCAGGUGAUAGAAGAAAGUCAAGCAUUUCAAGAGCUUCUUUUUCUUUAGCUUUUAGUGGAAUUUUCUUUUCUUAACUACAGCUGUCAACUCUUUGGGUUCUGAUUUUCUGAUCGCCAUUCUAAGUCUUCUAAUUGAGCAUGAUAUUGUCUUUGUGUUUUGAUUUGCAGAUGGUUAUCAUGUUCACUCUAACUUCUUUUUUUACUAUAUCUUUUGUGCCUUAAACUUAUCUUGCUCUCUUUUCCUCGUUAUUGGGUUAGUUUGCGACCUAGGUUUGUUGUCACUAGUAUUAUGUAUAAGAUCAUUGAAAAAUUUGUUUAAAGACAUCUCUGGUUCCAAUUCUUCAUUGCUAUUUUAUCUUGUUUGAUGUUUGAGCCUUAUUUUCUGGUACUAAGAUGUUUGAGCCUUUUUUUUUCUGGUACUAAAAUGUUUGAGCAUUAUUUUCGAGUACUAAGAUGUUUGCCUGAAAUAUACUCUUGAAGAAGAGAGCUUUUCUCUGAGACUUAGGUAUCUGUAUUCUUUUUUGACCUUAUCUUUUAUUGGGCUAGUUUGUUAACUUUUUUUUGUCACGGUUUAUGCAUAAGAUCAUUUGAAAAUUUGCUUGUUCGAAUUUAAAAAGCUGCUACAUUUAAAGAAAACUUUUGUCCCAAUUCUUCAUUGCUGGUUUUAUCUUGUAUGAUGGUGAGCUUUAUUUUUGGGUGCAAAGAUGUUGAGAUCCAAGGUAUUCUUUUUCUAUUUUUUAUUUUUUCAUGGUUUCAGUAUUGGUCUUAGUAAAAUAAAAGAAUUGACAUAUGGGCAGAAAUUGUGGGGAUAAAUGGACAUCAUAAGAAAAGCAACAAAGAUAAUAGAUUUACCUAUUCCAUUGUCUGAUUGAGAAUCAAUUACACUGGAUUUAAUCCUGUUUUUCUUUUGGGUUUUGGUCAAGAUUUGGUUGCAUAAGGUUGGCCAAUGUCAAACUUGGCAAGUCCAAAUCAAAUUUUGCUAAUAACAGAGUCAUAUAGCAUGGUAUUGAGACAUUUUUCUGUUAUCUGUUUUCUGCACUUACCUUACCCCGUACUAAUAUGAUUUUCAUGGGAUUAUGUGCACUAUAUGAGAUUUGGAGGUAAUUGUGAGUACGUAUUAUACAAUCCGAAUGACCAGAAACAGAUUAUGAUUUGAGUUGCAGUAUUUAGUUCUCUACUAGCUAAUCGUUACAUUUUUAGUGGACCAUGAAUGGUCAGUUCUCUUCAAUUAUAUGGGGAAUAUAAUGCCCUCAUUCAAGUUUAUUAAGUAUUGUAUUGUUUCACAUGUUCCGAAUAUUUACGUACAUUUAACCUUUAACUAAAGGAAAACCUUGGUGCAGUAUCAUCAAACCCUUGGUGAAAAUGUCCAUUAGUGCCGUUCACAUAUUUCUUUGUGAUGUUUCUGUUUCUUGACGGUUCUUCAGGGAAAUUGAAGCAUUUCUCAUAAUAUGCCCCUCUUGUGCUAUCUCUUUGUGUAAAUAAUGUCAUAAUAUGAAGAAAAUUAUGAGGUGUGUGCCCCCUCGUCUAAUCGCAGCAUUGACAUUUGCUUCAGUAACCCUAAUGAUCAGAUUUCAUACUAGUAUGAUUUUCAUUGAGAACUUGGUAGCGAAAUUCCUUGUCGCAUAAGUAGCGACUACACGAAUGGUGUAACGACUGCCCCCCGUCUUCGACAUGGACCCGAAAGAAGAGAAGUUAUAAUUUUUAAAGUAUACUAUCAGCAUUUUAUGAGAUCUUGAGGUAGUGUGAGCAUUGUAUAUGGAUUAGAAUGCCCAGCAAGUAGUAGUUUUUUUAUUAUUUAUUUUUAAG